rnacentral:rRNA from 1 species
GUGGCCGCGGCGGCCGUCGAGGCCGCCUCCGUCUGCGCGCACAUCGACUGCUCGACCUGGCGGCCAUCAUCGAGGCUGGCGCGCUCCGGGUCCGCGCCGACCGACUCAACGGGGCGACGUGGGCGGAGAGCGAGCGUCGCCUGCUUGCCCGCGCCGCCGCGGCGACCGCGGACAUCGAGGCCGCCUCCGUCUGCGCGCACCUAGCCGCCGUCCAUGGCCACUGUUGGGGCUGCUCUAAUCGCUCGGUGCCGCUAUCACCUUCGAUGCGGCUGGGCGUCCUUGCCGCAGCCACAACCAGGGGGCAGUGCACCAUAUGGCUGCAAGAUUGGGAAGGCGUACUACUUGAUGACGGGCGUGGCGGUCCUCCGCAUCAUCUUUUGCUGCAAGGCUGCAGGUAGUCCAUGCUCGUCGUUGUUCGCUAGGUGACGCCGCAGCCUCAAGUCGAGCUGGACCAGCACAUCGGCGAACUGCAAAAGGCAUUUGGAUCCUUUUCCACUGCAGCCUGAUCAAUGUCAACAGUGUACAACAACGGUGACAAUUACAGAGUUGCGAAGCUCACCCGACAAAAAGCACUCAUGGAAGGUUACUUGACUUUGCCUUUCAUCUACUGAAAGGAAACAAGCAAGGUGUGAUCAUUAAAGGUGCGAAUUUUGGCGUAUUAAUAAGAGUUGCUUUUGGCCAAUUGGCAAUUGUGUUGCUAAGCCUAAGAUGUUGGGAGCAGCAAUGAAGAUGACUUCUUGUAAAUAAAACAGUAAGAGUGACAGCUUCAUCUUGUAUGGCAUUGUUCCCUGGAUCGAUAUGCAACACCAUCCCAAGUGCCUUCUUUGCACAAGAAGCCUUCCUGC